UUGAAAAGUUAACCAAUUUAGACUCAAGAAUUACUCGAUUCGGAACCCUGAGCUAGGAGAUAUGGUCUUCUGAAAUCGAAUUGUUGCUGAUGUUGAUAUUCCGUUUUAUUGCGUUGUGCUUCUCAAACCAAACCUUAUGUCCUCUUAUUUCAAAGGUAUAAAUAACCUAAUCAUCUCUUCUUUCUCAUUUGUGUCGAUUAUUAAGGCCAAAAGUUCUUGGUUAGUUGGAAAAAUAUAUUCAAAUUUGCUUGAUUGAUUAAUUGAAAUCAGAAACCAAUUAAUAUUUCCAAGGUUUUUCUUGUUUGAUUUUGCGAUAAAGAUUUAUUAAUUCCUAUCAUUAUUAUUGGAGGUGAUUCUAUUUUGGAGAAUGGUCGAUUAUAAAUGGGAUUUCAAUUAGUAUUGUAGUAGAGCUAUUGUUUGGCUAAGUAAGACUAGAAUAAAGUUUGGUUUAGAUUUGUUAUUCGAAUUAGUAUUGGUGGAUGAUCAAUUACUUGUUAUUUUUUUGUGAGGUGGUAUAUGAAGAGUAAUUGAGGAGAUUAAUUCAAGUUAAGAUGGUGAUCAAGUCUAUGAUUCUAUCUUGGAGGUUGUAUGUUUUUGUUCUUGAAUUCAUUAAGGAAAUGAUCAGCAUUAUUUGAGGUUUGUGGAGGCUUAAGCUGAAUUCAAUGGAGCUUGAUUGUACUCAAUGGAUUUAAAUUAUGUGUUAUAUAUUAAGGUUGUAUUCAUUUAGUAUAUGAAUUGUUGUAAGUUUAAUUGUGAGGUGAAAGGUUUAUUAUUUAUUCAAGGAUUAUUCAUUUGA